rnacentral:rRNA from 1 species
GUGUCAGCCGCCGCGGUAAUACGUAGGGAGCAAGCGUUGUCCGGAAUCAUUGGGCGUAAAGCGCGCGUAGGUGGCCCGGUAAGUCCGCUCUGAAAGUCAAAGGCUCAACCUUUGAAAGCGGGUGGAUACUGCCAGGCUAGAGUCCGGAAGAGGCGAGUGGAAUUCCUGGUGUAGCGGUGGAAUGCGCAGAUAUCAGGAGGAACACCAACGGCGAAGGCAGCUCGCUGGGACGGUACUGACACUGAGGCGCGAAAGCGUGGGGAGCGAACAGGAUUAGAUACCCUCGUAGUCC